GCCUUUGUGGUGUAAUUGGAAGCAUACCUGACUCAUAUUCAGGAGGUCUGAAGUUCAAACUCCGUCAAGGCC
rnacentral:tRNA from 1 species